UUGAGCGGAGAUAUAUGGAGCUUGCUUUAUAUAACUUAGCAGCGAACGGGUGAGUAACACGUAGAUAAUCUAUCCUAUACUGGGGGAUAGCCCGAUGAAAGUUGGAUUAAUACCGCAUAUAGCUAUAUAGUUGCAUGAUUAUGUAGUGAAAGAUUUAUUGGUAUAGGAGGGGUCUGCGGCACAUUAGCUAGUAGGUGAGGUAAAGGCUUACCUAGGCGACGAUGUGUAGCCGGUCUGAGAGGAUGAACGGCCACAAUGGAACUGAGACACGGUCCAUACUCCUACGGGAGGCAGCAGUGGGGAAUAUUGCACAAUGGGGGAAACCCUGAUGCAGCAACGCCGCGUGAGUGAAGAAGGUUUUCGGAUUGUAAAGCUCUGUUAGCAGGGAAGAGGAAGGACGGUACCUGCAGAGGAAGCCACGGCUAACUACGUGCCAGCAGCCGCGGUAAUACGUAGGUGGCAAGCGUUGUUCGGAAUAACUGGGCGUAAAGGAUGCGUAGGCGGUUAAACAAGUUAUAUGUUAAAUAUAUAGGCUUAACCUGUAGAAAGCAUAUAAAACUGUUUAACUAGAGUGCAGGAGAGGUAAGUGGAAUUCCUAGUGUAGCGGUGAAAUGCGUAGAGAUUAGGAAGAACACCAGUGGCGAAGGCGACUUACUGGACUGUAACUGACGCUGAGGCAUGAGAGCAUGGGGAGCAAACAGGAUUAGAUACCCUGGUAGUCCAUGCUGUAAACGAUGGGUACUAGGUGUGGGUUGUGAAUAACAAUUCGUGCCGU
rnacentral:rRNA from 1 species